UACAGAGGGUGCAAGCGUUAAUCGGAAUUACUGGGCGUAAAAGCGUGCGUAGACGGUUUAUGUAAGUCAGGUGUGAAAAGCCCCAGGGGCUCAAACCCUUUGGGAAAUUUGCAUUUUGAGACUGCAUAGCUAGGGGUGCGGAAAGAGGGGAAAGCGGGAAAUUUCCCUAGUGUAGAGGUGAAAAAUUUCGUAGAUAUUUAGGGAAAGAAACACCCAGUG
rnacentral:rRNA from 1 species